UUUUAAUCUACUACACAACCACCACUCCUAUUGUAUAAACAUUGUAUAAACUUUAUUGCCAGACAUUGUCACCUAUCUCUCAUUUACAUUUGCAUUUAUUAAUUUAGCAGAUGCUUUUAUUCAAAGCGACUUACAAAUGAGGAACAUUGCAAGCAAUUUGUCGUAAGAGCCAACAGUAUUUGUAUUACACAAUGCCAAGUGUAAGCAAGAUUAGUACACUAGCUAGAGCAGAGUUGAAUUGCAGAAAAGAAGAGAAAGAAGACGAGUUUAAAUAGUAAGUGCCUUUAUUUAUGGUUAUGGAUUGGUCACAAGGGAAGAGCUGUGUCUUCAAGUUUUUCUUGAAAGUAGUGAUGAUCUCAACAGAUCGGGUGGAGGAUGGCAGUUCGUUCCACCAAAGAGGAACAGAGAAAGCUUUUGGAAAGCAGCUUGGUGCCUCAUUGUGAGGGAACAACCAGGCGCUGCUCAUUCACUGACUGUAAAUUGUGGGAGGGAACAUACACUUGUACAAGUGUAUUGAGGUAGGAGGGUGCUAUUCCAGUGGCCGUCCAGAAUGCCAGCAUUAAAGCCUUGAAUUUGAUGCGGGCGGCUACAGGUAGCCAUUGGAGUGAGACCAAGAGGUGUAUGUGCCCUCUUUGAUUGACUGAAGACCAGACGCGAUGCCACGUUCUAUCACCUAUGACCUAUCUCUGUCACUUUUGAAGGAAUAAUAAUAAUAAAAAAUAUGUCAUUAUUUUCUCACCAUUAUCAGUUUUUCCCACAGAUUUCUGUUUUUGCUGUGGGGGGAGACCUGGAACUGAUUCAAACCAAUAACAUGUAAACCUUUUAAUUUUCAUUGUGCAUCACACAACACAGUGGAAAGACGAGUUGUCUUGAUGAGUUGCUGGAAAUUCAGCAGCGAUGGUGUAUUUUCAGCAGCGUCAUAUGUAAUGUUUAGCCGGAGACUAUUUUGGUAUAGUGCUGUGGGAAACACUGAAUUAUGUUGCUUUAAUCCUGUAUAACUUUCUUUCUUCCUCAGAACACAAAAGGAGGUAUUUAAAAAAAGUCAUGUUUGUUCUUGUCCAUACAAUAGCAGUGGACAGUGACAGUCUCGAUUCAAGCUUCAAAAUGAUACAAAAAUAUCAAAAAAGUAUUCCAAACUACCCGGGUCUUGAGUGCUCUAAAGACAUAGGAUAGGGUUUGGAGUGAACAAAGCACGUGAAUAGGAGGUAGAGAAGAUUUUCACUAAAUAAUGAUUUAAAUUUGUAUAUAUACUCUAUAGUACUUGGAUUAUAAAAAAUGAGUCACUUAAAAAAUUUAUUAUAUUUUUGUGUCCUUUUGAAGCUUGAAAACAGACAUGUUUUUUCAAAGAAAAAAAAACAAUGCAGGUUUAGAUCAAAAUGAGUGUGAGUAAAUGAUGAUAUAAUUUUUAUGUUUGGGUGUACUAUCCCUUCAAAAGUGAACCUUAGAGAUAGGUGACAAAAUCUGGCAAUACAUUUUAUCAUGUUUUAAUUUUUGAACUGUUUGUAUUAUUAUUAUUUUUUACAUAACCUCAUGCUCUUUGUGGAAAUCAAUGUUUGUACAGCACCAAAAUAUGAGAAUUAGUCAUUGAGAGAACUAUUUUUCUGUUUAUUUUAAAGUGUGACAAGACUAUAAAAAAAAAAAAAAGACAGUAGUCCAAACCAUGCAAAAAAGGAAAGAAAGAGAGAGAGAAAAAAAAAGGUUGUCCAGAGCAAUUUUGACUCUAGAGAUGAAUAUAUCCCCAUGGCUCUGCACAAGGAGCUGCAAGACAAAUAUUAUAACGUCAAAAAAAGGAUGCGAGAUGGCCAAUGAGGAAAAAGAAAAAGCAAUAAAAUGUUUAAAAGAAGAGAAAAGGGAGAUGAAGGCUGAACUGCAGCAACUAAGGCAGUUAAACCUCCAUCUCCAAGAGGAGCUCUUCCAAAACAAAAAAAAUACAGUAACACAAAUGGAGCCACAACCCACUUCUGCAGACCACACUCCACUCCCACUGCAGCCAGUUCAUGGUCCAGAAGAACAUAAGCUUGAAGAGCAGACUGUUAUGAAAGGACAGGGGGGUGACAAGCUGUCAAAUGACCAUGAUCCUAACUGGCAGAAAAUUUCAGCUUGUACUGCCAUUAAUGGAAUUUACUUGCCAUUAAGGCAGUGGAAUACCUGAUCCCAACUGGCAGAAAAUAUUGACCGCAGCAACAGAGUGCCACUUCACCCACAAAAAGUGGUGCCUUUCGAUAUAUGAUUAAAGAUAUGUGAGGUAAAUUUACACUGUAUUGCCUGGAACCUUUUGCACCUGAUGCCUUCAUUUAGCAAUGUAUUUUGACUGUACUGCCACGCAAAGGAUUUCAUCUUUUCAGAUGAAAUAGAUUUAUAAUACAUAUUUUCAUAUCACUACUUCAGCUCUAUUAAAUUUGUCAUGCUACAUUAGGGGAGUGAGAGAAUAUAAUACAUGUUUGUUUCAACUUUUAAAUGUUUAUAUUUUGUAUUUUUUUUUUUCUUUUUUUUUUUUUACAUGUUCAGAGUAGGUCUACUGUUUAUAAUUACAAAAAUGCCAUAAUUUGUUUUAUAGAAAUCAUGUUACAUCUAACCACAGUAGUGAAGAUGAUCCAUGCUUCCAUGUGCUUACUAUGGUCUUGUUACAAAUACCACUUUUAAAAACAAUUAAAAAACAAAAUACAUUAAAAUUUAAGGGCAAAUGCAAAAUCCACUAUUUGUUUAGAUUAAAUAUAAAUGCGUAAAUCCUAAAACAAAAUAGGCAAAAAUAUUUUUGUUUGUAAAAAAAAUAAAAAAAUAACUGAUUUUGUUUGCCUUCAGAAAUUCCAAGAGAUUAAUCAUUUGAAUCAAUAAGAACACUGUAAUAAUAAUAACAAUAAUAAUAAUCCUGUUGUUUUUACAAAAACAAAAAAAGGACAACCUGUACAGUUUAACACUGUUGUAGUUUACAUGACCACAAUGGCACUGUAAUUUUUUUUACAGUAAUUCUGUAAUUAAAAAUUCUGUUAAAUUUACAGUAAAAAAAACAUCAAACUUGAUAUAUACCUUCUGAAACUGUAAGAAUCUGCUUUUUACUUUAUAAGGGAUUGUUAAUCACCGUAAAAAUUACAGAAGAGCACAUGAUGACAUGAAGUUCACCAAUAGUUCCAGAAGCAAUGACCAAUAACAUGUAGAGACAGUGCUCAGUGUCACUCACACAAACACUAAACACCAUCAGGGUAACACAUGUGAAAUUUAAAUAAUGCAGUAAACAUUAACUAAACUACAUCAAAUAUAAAAAAAAUAUUAAAAAUAAGAAGAAACAUAACUAUUCCCAUAAAAUAUAAUGAAAUAUGAUGGGUCAUGCAGGGAAUUGUGGGAAUGCCCAAUUAUUGUUUUUCACUGUAAUUUUAACAAUACGGUAAAAACUACAUGUACUCUCUUGUUAAACAUAAUGUAAAUUUUUACCAUUAAAUUAUUUUUUAAAAAAAUUUACAUUUUAUUGUAAAAACUACUGUAUUGUAUUUUGAAAUUUAUAUAUAAAAAAAUUACUGUAUAUUUUAGUUAAUAUCGUUAUCAUUAAAAUUAGACAUUUUUUUACAGUGAACCUGAUGAAAGGAGUUCCAACUUAGUCACACUGUCAGAAUAAUUUAGCCGCAUAAAUUAGGUGUUAACUUUUUACUUUUAAUAGAUGUUAAUGUAACAAAAAGGUCUCUUGCUUAUUGGAAAGGAGGCGGCGGGAACCGGAUGAACAAUCACAAAGACUUUUAAUCAGACACAACACAAACACUGACGCACACACACAACUCCACGUGCAUCUCUCUCUUUCUCUCUCUCUCUCAAACUGGCAUCUCAGGCUCCUCUUUAUCCCUCUCCCGGCUGAUUGGGACGAUUCAGCACCUGGCGUCGCUGAAGGAGGUGUACCAGCUGGCUGAGGACCGGGUCCCAGAUAUAGCCCUCCAUCUGCAUAAAUUUAAGAAAUGCAAGGUUUGGACUCACAUUCAUGACGCAUAAGCCUGCUGAAUUUAUUAACACAACUUUAAAAUUCUGCAAUGAAUCGAAGUUGCAUCGAGCAAAUGAAGCAAAUAAAAAAAAAAAGAGUUUUGUGUUUUAUGGUUUUUUCUCUUUUAUUUUGGUAGCACAAAGUCUCCACUUUCAAAUUAUGUCACAUCUGGCACCAAACAUCAUACCAUCUGGCACCAACAAUAAUGCCACAGUCCAAAUCACUGAGAUCACAUUUUUCCCCAUUCUGAUGGUUGAUGUGAACCUUAACUGAAGCUCCUGUCCCACAUCUGCAUGAUUUUAUGGACUGCACUGCUGCCACACAAUUGGCUGAUUAGAUAAUCGCAUUAAUGAUUGUUGGUGCCAUAUGGGCUGGUUUGAGUAUUACUGUAACUGCUGAUCUCCUGGGAUUUUCACACACAACAGUCUCUAGAAUCUACUUUGAAUGGUGCCAAAAACAAAAAACAUCCAAUGAGCGGCAGUUCUGUGUACGAAAACGCCUUGUUGAUGAGAGAGGUCAACAGAGAAUGGUCAGACUGGUUCAAACUGACAAAGUCUACGGUAACUCAGAUAACCGCUCUUUACAAUUGUGAUGAGAAGAAUAUCAUCCCAGAAUGCUAUUAUGAUAUGCAGGUUGGCACUGUUUUGGCGGCACGAGGGAGACCUACACAAUAUUAGGCAGGUGGUAUUAAUGUUGUGGCUGAUCGGUGUAUUAUGGGCAGUGUUGGGUGUAAAGCUUUUAUAAAGUAAUUUGUUUUUGAAUAAAAAUUAUUGUAAUCAGAUUAUCGUUUCUCAUUUUCAGUUAUGUUCAAAUUACAUUAGACCUAUAGGUUUAUACAUUACUAAAGUAAUUAAUGUCUCAAGAUUAAAGUCAAUAUAAUGCAAGAUUUAGUGAAGUCAUGUUUAGAGUAAAAUGUUGACAAAAAUUAUUCAUUACCAAAAUGUAAGUGAACCGCGAGCGAUUCACCAAUCCACUUAUAUUUGAGCUUUGGAUUGUCCAAUUCGUUUUAGUGAAUCGGUUUGUUUGUACGAUUCAUAUACUGUAAACGAACCAAUUCAAAUAAAUUAUUCACUUACUUGAGCCCAUGCGUGGAGUUCCCUACGUCUUCUUUUUUGAAGUAGAAUAUUUAUGUAAUUGCUGCUCUUUAACUAUAUUUUUUGAAUCUUUAGUUAAAAAAAUAUUAAAGUUAAAUAUUAAAGGGUUUGCUUAAUUGUAGCCAAUAUGUAAUAAAUUAAUGUUCAGGUUAGCACACUCAAAAAAUAUUAUAUAUAAUAGUAUAUAAUAUUUGUAACAAAUGUUCACAGAAAAGGAGGAAGCGGGAGGUGGCAAAUCCAACUCAAAUGGUAUCUUUUAUUUCUUUAAACUCAAUAUUCACGCUUUUCAGCAGUCACACUCAGAACUAUGCUUUUCAGCAGACAUAUAUCACUUCAGUCUUUCUCCAGCUCAUGUCUCAUAUCUCUCUUCUGACUAGCGUCUGGCUCGCUUUUAAAGCCCGUCUCCACUCUCGCUGCAACGACAAACAUCUUUUAGAGACAAUCAUUGCCAGUCGAUGAUCCUUACCGUUCUCAUCUCCUGAUCUCGCUCUCCAUUCACAAACCGGCACUUAACCAUGCCCCCACCACCACAAUAUUAUAUAGUAUAAUAUUAUAUAUUAUUAUAUAAUGCUCAAAUACUUUUUCUCCCGAGAAUUGUUAAGGGCCAAUCGGCAGAAAUGGGAAACCAUUUCAUACUCUGGGUAAGGUCUAAACUGUGAAUGCUAGCACUCAGAUUGUCAUGAAAUGCUCAUUUUUGGUUAUAAAUGAAUUCAAUCUUUUUUGUUGUUGUUGUUAUUUUGAAGGUUUUUGAUGUCCAAGCAAAAGAGGUAUGUUUUUUUGAUUCAGUGAGUAUCUACAUGAACACUUUUAUAGAGACGGAAGACAGAUAUUCUGAAGUAAUUCAGUUUCACCAAUUUACUAUUAUCUCAAUAAUCAAUCAUUUGUUUUUAUGGUAAUAAUAUUUUGAUCAUGUGGAAGAUGCACAUCUUUCACUCAUUGCUGCUUGUGAACAAAAAUAAAUAGAGAGGCUUUUAAAGAAAAGGGUCACUGGAAGGCUAUACUGUUUGCAAUCCAAAGCAGUGGAUGCAAGGCGAUGGUGUGAACUGUUUUAUUUGCACUGUAAGUUUAUUUCUCAGUAUUUUAUUUAUUUAUUUUUUCUGUAAAUGUGGUCUUUUUAGUUGGAAUCAAGUUCUAUUUUAUUACCUGUUAAAGGCAGCCGAAAUGGAAGCCAAACACAUAAAAAUGUUGUCUGAUGUUCGUGCAAGUCAGCUAAUACAUCUACGUGUGUUUCCCGUACUACAAGCAUGUUGAAAAAGAUGUGGCAAUUAAAGUAAGACAAAAAGGUGUGAAGAUUACAUAAUGAAAGAAAAUAUCAGAUUAAUGCUCACAUUUACUACCUGACAGGACUUUUCAAUUGAAACGAGAGAAAAAGAAAACUGUGAAAUAAAAAGCAACACCUGCAUGGCCCAGGACAUAAAGGCCUGUGAAAUUACGAACAAGCUGCUAGAUGACAAUCAGUCAGGCUUCAAAAGUGAGACUGCCCUGCUGUCUGUCACUGAGUAACUGAGACAGGCGAAAGCUGAAUCCAGAUCAUUUCUGCAGCCUUUGACAGUCAACCAUAAGAUCUUACUCUCCACCCUCUGUUCGCUGGGCAUCACAGGAACUAUGCUUGACUGGUUUAAUUCCUAUCUCACAGCCCAACAACACCACAGUGACUGCUCGAAUCUCUGCCUGCCUGGCAGACAUCUCAGCCUGGAUGAAGGAACACCACCUGCAACUUAACCCAGCCAAGACCGAACUCCUUGUUUUUCCAGCCAACCCUGCUGUUGAACACAACAUCACCAUGCAGCUGGGUGCAACUACAGUAACGCAUUCCAAAAUGGUCAGAAAUCUAGGGGUAACCAUCAAUAACAAACAAAAUUUCACAGACCACAUCUCAAAGACCGCAAGAUCAUGUAGAUUUACACUCUACAAUAUCAGGAAGAUAAGACCCUUCCUCUCUGAACAUGCCACACAACUUCUUGUUCAGUCACUUGUCAUAACUAGACUGGACUACUGUGAUGCUCUCAUUGCAGGCCUACCUGCAUGUGCAAUUAGACCCCUGCAAAUGAUCCAGAAUGCAGCAGCAUGUCUGGUCUUUAAUCAAAGAGAGCGCAUGUUACACCACUCCUUGUCUCUCUUCACUGGCUGCUGGUUGAUGCAGGUAUCAAGUUCAAGGCUCUGAUGCUGGCAUACAAAACAGUCACUGGGUCUGCUCCAGCAUACCUAAAAUCAUUUCUGCAGAGCUACACGUCCACUAGAAGCCUGCGGUUGGCUAAGGAACUUCGCUUUGUUGUACCAACACAAAGAGGCACCAAAACACUUUUUCCGGACUUUCGGCUUCAUCAUACCACGUUGGUGGAAUGACUUUCCCAACUCCAUCCGUGAAGCUGACUCACUUCAAAAAGCUGCUAAAAACACAUCUUUUCCAUGAGCACUUAACCAGUCACUAAAAAAAAAAGAAAAAAUGUCCUUGUUGCACUUUAAUCUGUUUUGAAUGCUAUUCUGAUGCUAGUGAAACUUUGUAAUAUGGCACUUUUCAUUCCACUGUCUCCUUAAAAUGAUUCGCUUAUGUUUUUCCUCUUUUGUAAGUCACUUUGGAUAAAAGUGUCUGCCAAAUGAAUAAAUGUAAAUGUAAAUGCAA